CCCCACGGGCACGUUCAAUACAACAGUUCCCAGUGGAUCACUGAAGCUAAGCAACGUUGCGCGUGGUUAGUAUCCGGAUGGUUGACUACAUCAGCUACAUAUGUAAUGAAGGGU
rnacentral:rRNA from 1 species